rnacentral:rRNA from 1 species
AUUGAACGCUGGCGGCAUGCUUUACACAUGCAAGUCGGACGGCAGCACAGAGAAGCUUGCUUCUUGGGUGGCGAGUGGCGAACGGGUGAGUAAUAUAUCGGAACGUACCGAGUAAUGGGGGAUAACUAAUCGAAAGAUUAGCUAAUACCGCAUAUUCUCUGAGGAGGAAAGCAGGGGACCUUCGGGCCUUGCGUUAUUCGAGCGGCCGAUAUCUGAUUAGCUAGUUGGUGGGGUAAAGGCCUACCAAGGCGACGAUCAGUAGCGGGUCUGAGAGGAUGAUCCGCCACACUGGGACUGAGACACGGCCCAGACUCCUACGGGAGGCAGCAGUGGGGAAUUUUGGACAAUGGGCGCAAGCCUGACCCAGCCAUGCCGCGUGUCUGAAGAAGGCCUUCGGGUUGUAAAGGACUUUUGUCAGGGAAGAAA